UACGUAGGGUGCAAGCGUUGUCCGGAAUUAUUGGGCGUAAAGAGCUCGUAGGCGGUUUGUUGCGUCGGCUGUGAAAUCCCGAGGCUCAACCUCGGGUCUGCAGUCGAUACGAGCAAACUAGAGUGUUGCAGGGGAGACUGGAAUUCCUAGUGUAGCGGUGAAAUGCGCAGAUAUCAGGAGGAACACCGGUGGCGAAGGCGGGUCUCUGGGCAACAACUGACGCUGAGGAGCGAAAGCGUGGGGAGCGAACAGG
rnacentral:rRNA from 1 species